UUGUCCUACGGGGGGCAGCAGUGGGGAAUAUUGCACAAUGGGGGAAACCCUGAUGCAGCGACGCCGCGUGAGCGAUGAAGUAUUUCGGUAUGUAAAGCUCUAUCAGCAGGGAAGAAAAUGACGGUACCUGACUAAGAAGCCCCGGCUAACUACGUGCCAGCAGCCGCGGUAAUACGUAGGGGGCAAGCGUUAUCCGGAUUUACUGGGUGUAAAGGGAGCGUAGACGGCAAUGCAAGCCAGAUGUGAAAGCCCGGGGCUCAACCCCGGGACUGCAUAUGGAGCUGUG
rnacentral:rRNA from 1 species